AUGACCUCAGUUUUGUUAUCUUCAUCAUUCUAUCUACACAACUUGCUCAUUUUUAUUUCAUCCUGCUUUUUGGUAGUUUCAAAAGUGAUAUUAGCUGCCAAGUUGUCAUCAUGUAGAUGCCCUUUUAAGGUAGCCUCCAACUUGAGGACCACCCCGACGGCAAGCAUGGCUGGACUAUGCCUUGGAGGAGGGAUUGUAAGCACUGCCGCAUACAAGUCAGUAGGAGAUGGUCGUAUCACUUUUCAACAAGGAUGGCCGAGAGGAAUUCCCGGAGGAGAACUACCAAGCAUUGAGAGAGCGGUGCUAAUCACCAUCAGGAACAGUGCACUGGACGAACUGAAUACGAUGGAUGAUGGUUGUCUUCAACGAGGUCUAAUUAUGAGAUUGUCAGGAAUAAGGCUGUUUUAA
rnacentral:rRNA from 1 species